AGAUUUAAUACUUGUGAUUAUGAUAACAAUGACAAUGAUGAUAGAAGUGAAGGAGGAAAUUAGUGCCUUUCAAUAAACAUGGUACUGGAAUUUCAUGUGGAUCAGAAGUUUCCUUCAGUGGAAAACAAAAUUAGUUCCCUCCUCCAUGUUUCCCCAAUUCAUCUUAUGAUGUUCUUCCAAAAACAUACUAUUAUAUGCCCCUGAUAAUACCAUACCAGAUAAUGGAUUUCUUCCUGACUUCACCUUCUACUUGUUUGCCUCCAUUACUUUGCUCAUACUGUUUCCUCCUCUAGGCUUUUUCUUGCCUAUUCUCAUUUUUUGAAAUUCUUCUCAACCUGCAAAACCUGGCUGAAUGAAACCUUCUCUGACCAUUCUUUCUUCUUUGAUUCCUUUCUGUAUUUUACCUACUUCUAAUCUUGAUCCCUGCCAUGUGUUGGAGCCAUUUUCACAUGUCUGGAUCCCCCACUGAGAUUGUAAUCUCUUAGAGUAGAUGCUAAGCUGCUUAUAAACUGCAGAGAGAAAGAGCUGCAUACAACAUCUGCCACUGCACUAAUGUUCAGGGUGAUUCAGCCAAUGUGGUCCUAAUUCCACCUUGAACAGUCAUCCAUCAAAGGCAUAUAAGGAGCACCUUUCGAAGAGAUGGGAACUUCUUACAUUCAGGGAUACCCAGACAGUAAUCCAGCCAGGGCUUGUGAAGAAAGACAGGGAGAAGACCAUUUCCACUGGACACUCAACCCAUCCAUCCUAGCCACACAGAAAUGAAGGCAAAGAGCACUUCCUGGCAAGCAAGAGUUAAACAGAAGACUGAAUCCUCUUGCUGUGAAGACCAUCAAGGCCAAAUCUAGGAGGAUGCAAGACCCUGGUUAAGAAGGAAGCCCAGCCAUUUGUCCUUGGUCUCCUGGUAUACUGAUUGCAUUACCAACUUUCAGAGCCACUAUCAAGAGAAUUUGACUGUACAGUCACCUCUAACUCACGAAUUAUGGGACAUUAAGCCAGAAAGAAUAUCUCAACCCUCCCAUAUUUGUUCAGACCAUUAAACUAUCUUAUAUAGAGAGCAUAUUGGAAUUUGUAAUUUCUGUAGCCACAUCAAAUAAA
rnacentral:lncRNA from 1 species